AAAAAAAAAAACAAACUUCACUGACCAAACCAUCGCUCCGGUUUGUUUACUUCUUAAACACUGUUUAGUUGGCAAUAGCUUGAGUGACUUGUGUGAGUGUAUUGGGAGAAUGAGUGUACAUCGCUUGUAAGCGAGGGGUGCGUGAAUGUGUGAUUGGUUGAUUAUUUAGUUUUGUUUUGUGAUUUUGUUAGGAAAAAGGUCAUCUCAUCGUUGGAGCAUGCCAACGAUUGAGAAUGGCGAACUUUAAGAUUUUUCUUCGGUGGAAGCACGCAAUCUUUGGAGUGUCCAAAGUAGCUUCCAUAUCCGAAGAAAUUUCGGGCUAAUUUAAGAGGGAUAUUGUUUUCAUUCCUUUUUACUCGGGUAAAGUUCUGUGGUCGGAAUGAACAAUAUUCAUCGAGUUAUUUUUUCGACGUAGGUCGAUAGUACGUUUUUUUUUACAUCUCCAGAAAUACUUCUAUUAAUGAGAAGUGGAGGAUGUAAGGAUUUUAGUUAUAGUUUUGGGUAAUUUUGAGUAUAUUUUUUCUUCAUUUUGUGUGAAUAGGAUUGUCAACUAAUAGUAGUUCUUGAAGGUCAGAUCGAUUGAUGUAUUUUCGAGUUUUUCUUGUUUCUCAGUUCAGUAGUUAGUUAGUUGCUGUAAUGCCAGUAAUUUUUGAUGGGCGUUUAGAGUUAACCUUUUACAGUGGUUCGCAUGACAUUUCGCUGGAGACCGGAGCUGUAAAGCGUUGAUGGUCAGUUACAGACAGAUUACCCGAUCUGAUACUGGAGAUAGAGGAUGAGUCAAUUCAGUUUGACGAUGACCACAUAUGACCCCGAAAAUGUUAGUGAACAUUCUGCGAAGGGAGACUCUAUUUUCGCCUUCGAAAAUUUGAUUGGUUUAUGCCAAUCAAAUUUUCGAAAAUUCAGCAGGGAAUGAUGUAGCGUGGUACUGGUUUCGACAUUUGGAAGCCCCUCGUUUAGUUAUUUUGAAGUUCAGAUUCUACACCAGCUCACUUGUGUGAAUCGGAGCCUCUCUCUUCUUUCAAUGUAUUGGAUGUAAGGCAACGCGAGUGCCGCUCCUCUUUUUAGAUUUGAGCAACUUGGCAUAAUGGGUGCUGGAUGUGAUUCGACGGCUGUGUUUUAGCCAAGACACCCAAAUACCAAUACACCCGAAAGACUCAUGCUUUCCUUUUUUCAUUUUUUUCGUUUGGAUAUUUCCCCCAAAUAGCAGAGUCUUUCGGCGGAGGUUUUCUUGUUCUUGGAACCUCAAAAACCCGGCAAGCGAUUCGAUUUGAACUGCGCUCGGGAGGUUAAAGGUGAUCGCCCGAGAAUAUUUGAAUAUGAGACCGAUGUAGGGACAAGGGAACUUGGCAUGACUUGCGUGAUUAUUAACUUCGUUAAUAAUUACGCAGUUCCGGUCCUAUUGAUUAGUACGCUGAUCUGAGGACUAAAAAUUAUGUUCUUCCAUUUCAACGUGGACCGUGGAAGAGGUCGGAGUGGUGUUAUUUUCUUGAACCGCGAAUUUCACAAAAGCUGGAUAGUCGAUAGAUUUAGGCCAAGUUGAAGUUGUACCCUCCCGUGCAUCCGUUAAAUACAUCCGGAGGAAGCGCCGCUACUGACCCCACGGAGUCAACGUUGGAAUUGACCAAAAUCCAGCCAAGGCUCAAACCUUUCCGCCUGGUUCGAAGACUGCGCUGCGCGAACAAUACUGGCAGCCGCAACAGGCGUAAACCGGAAGUUAGGACCGCUCAUCGCACGCCCAGCUAGGAGUAGAACCCGUCGACGUAGCGAAUCACAUAAAUCCAUGGUAGUGAGUACCUUUUUUCCUUAUCCAUUAUUAACAUGCGCAUGUAGGAUAAGUGAUAUUGAGCAAAACGCUAUAAAUAGCUACUAACCACGAAAGCCACACAAUUCAAAGCCAUACACACACAAAUAAUGCAUGCAGUGGAGAGCUCACUCCAUAUGACUGUGUAAUUUCAAUCGCUAUAAGCGAAGCCAUUCAUGAAUAGCCUAACGGAGUAAAUAGCAAGCGCGCCGUCUUCUCAACCUAGAUGUGAUGAGAUCGAGACUUGGGAGGAAAAUUAGAGUAGAGUAAUGAAAUUUGAUUAAUGUUCUUAGAGUAAAUAAAUUUUCUAUGUUGAUGGAUGUUCUUUCCUGAUUGACUAAAUGUUCAAUGUAGAAGAGAAGUGUUGAUGAAGCUAAUUGAUUUAAGUGAUUGAGAAUGUUGUGAGAGAUGUUUUGAUAUUUAAUGUAGUGUAAAAUAAACUUUUCCGUUCGAUUUAUAUGUUAAGGUCUAAGAAACAAAUGUGUAUUUACUGGCUCGCGGUGGCCUAAACACCGACGAACCCGUUCACUCUUCUUUUUGUGUUAAUUAGGUCACGAGUCAGGGUGGAGACUCCUUUUUUUGUUUACUUCCACUCUCACUCCUACGCUCCGAAGCGAGCUCUGAAGUUGAGGGGAAGAUCAUUAUUAGUAGGUCCAGUGAGGAGACCUCAGCAUAAGUGGUAGUCAGUGGGAUCGACCCAGACUUCCUUGUGUCUGCAUUACGUCUCGUGGACAAACGAUAUCGCGGGUUCUCCCGAGAGUGCAGGAAAAAAGUCGCGAAGCUAACCGGGUUGGUGAGGAGAAAAGGACAAACCCGCCCUCAGUGGGUGUCUCAUUGCCGGGCAAGGAAAAUAACACGGCGGUCGGUCUCCCUCACGGGAGUGGCGCUUAAGCCGACCGCUUAUCUGCGCAAAUUCCCCGGUAGCGACGGGCUCGCG